UACGUAGGGUGCAAGCGUUAAUCGGAAUUACUGGGCGUAAAGCGUGCGCAGGCGGUUGUGCAAGACAGAUGUGAAAUCCCCGGGCUUAACCUGGGACUGCGUUUGAUACUGAGGAGCUAGGGUGUGGAAGAGGGGGGUGGAAUUCCAGGUGUAGCAGUGAAAUGCGUAGAGAUCUGGAGGAACACCGAUGGCGAAGGCAGCCCCCUGGGCUAACACUGACGCUCAUGCACGAAAGCGUGGGGAGCAAACAGG
rnacentral:rRNA from 1 species